AACUGUCAUCGCAGACGCGCGCACUUUUCGAGCUGUUUUGUUUACCAACAAGUUGCAUAACCAAAUUAAACAGCAUUGGCUGGUUACAAAUUUAAUGGUUAAAUUUAAUUUAAUCCCGCGGCACGGGAACCAACAUAAAAAACAACGAACGGAGAAAAAGAAUAAUCACACUUCUUAGCAUCGGUGAUACAAUCGAAGACGGACAGUGAGUACCUCGGAACGACUGGGCGGACAAGCGUGUCAACAAAUGAAAUAUCCUUGGGAUGAAGACCAUCGUUAUCUGUGCUGAAACGGCCGGAAGGUUGUGAUUGCGCUUUCCGGUGUCGAGAUGUUGUAGCUGUUCCGGAUCAAGAUGCUUGGGAUUUGGAAGAUUGUUUCUUCCUGGGCCGAGGUGCAACAACAACACCAAGAUCGGUGGAACGCGGGCGGCUGGAGGCCGCUGAACGACGGCGCGUAAUGGUCGGAAUAGAUCCGGAAGCCGCGGUGCGUGUGCAGCUGAGGAGGUUGCAUUGCAGGUGCAGAUAUGGAGAAGAAGAAAAGUGUGAUUGAAGAAGGGUGAAGAAGAGGCCGAAGGCCAACAUGGAUAAAAAAGGAAGAGGUUGAGAAUAAGAAUAAAAAGAUUAAGCGAAGAAGUUAUGUACAUUUGUGGGCAAUAAACAUGUGACGUUGUUGGACAA